UUAGUUUAUGUGUUUUGUGAUGGUUGUUUUAGAGCAAGUGUUGAACUUAUGAUCCAUAUGAGGGAAGAUCUACAUGAUAUAUGAUAUUUUAUGGUUAGAUCUUGCCAUUUUUAGGGUUGAUAAGCUUGAACAAAGAAGAUGAACCAAAACAGUUUUUUUUGUUUUAAAUGAAUUAGUGGACUGCUGCCCUAAACAGAAAAUUUCGGAUUUGUUAGGGUGCUCUAAAAAUUCUGGACUUGUGAUAUGUUAUAUUACACUCAAUAAGCUUUCCAUAGACUCCGAAACGGACUAAAUCCGACAUCGGAGGAGCAAGUUAUGGGAUUUCUACCAAACUAC
rnacentral:lncRNA from 1 species